AACAAAUUUUAGCAAACCAUAGAUAUGAUCUGCAGAUAAGCCAGUAUGUUGUGUCCAAAUCGUUGUAUUGUUUAGCUCUUCCUUAACAAUCUGGAGUGCCAAAUCAACGGGGAUAGAUGUAAAUAAAGAUGUUACGUCGAAUGAGACGAUACGCUCAUUAGGUUCAAUUUUUUUAUUGAAAAUAAAACUGGCAAAUUCUUUAGAGUUCCUAACUGUGUAAACAUCAUUGUAUAAGUAUUUUAGAAUGCGCGCCAUCAGACUAACACAAAUGCUGAGUAUGAAAUUCGUGGAUCGACAUGUCUUCCUUAUGUUAACGGAGUUUCAGAAAAAGUAAAAAGUAUUUUAACCAAUGCAGGAGUUCGGGUCGCGUUAAAACCAGUACUAACUUUAGGGAAUAUUUUUCGCAAGCCCAAAGCAAGACCGUCAGAAGACAGAACAAAAGCUAUUGUAUACAAAUACAAAUGCAACGACAAAUGGGCGACAAGGUGGUUAGAACACAAACCGGGAGUUAGAAAGAGAAUUUUUUCGACAAUAAAGGAACACGCUGAAUGCACUGGUCACAACGCUGCAAAAUCAGACGCUGUAAUAUUAGAAAAGGGAGUUAAGAACUACGAACAAAGGAUUUUCUUAGAGGCUUUACAUUCCACUCUUAGUGAAAACACGGCUAAUGAACAUACUGAAUUUCCGGCUUGUUAUUCUAUAUUAGCAGAUGAAAUCAAACGGAACGAUAAACAUUAUAAAUAGAGGUGUAAUGACUCUUGCCAUAUACUCUGAUGAAGGCUUGCAGCUCGCAGCCGAAAAUUUAGUUUUAAUUUUACUAGUUUUUAUUUUAAAUAAAAUGUUUUUAACCAGAUCAGCUACAAACCUUAGAAAAGUUAUCAUGUAUUCUACUGAUCGCCUCAACAGCAUAUAGGUAUAUAUAUAUAUAGGUAUAUAUAUAUAUAUAUAUAUAUAUAUAUAUAUAUAUAUAUAUAUAUAUAUAUAUAUAUAUAUAUAUAUAUAUAUAUAUAUAUAUAUUCUCAUAUUUAAUCUCUAUUAAUCUGUCUAGGCCGGGAGGAAGUAAAAGAAAGAGGAAACUGUCCCAUGCAAAGCGUUCAUCCAGUGCAUCUAAUACAGUAAACGCUGAAGUAGAGCUUGAAUUUACUGAAGCAAAGCCAAACCAACUGGCACCUUUGGAAGAAGAAGUCGCGGAUGGGAAAUUAAAUAAUAUUAAGGUUCAACCACAGAUCAGCGCAG